rnacentral:rRNA from 1 species
AUUGAACGCUGGCGGCAGGCUUAACACAUGCAAGUCGAGCGGAGAUGAGGUGCUUGCACCUUAUCUUAGCGGCGGACGGGUGAGUAAUGCUUAGGAAUCUGCCUAUUAGUGGGGGACAACAUUCCGAAAGGAAUGCUAAUACCGCAUACGUCCUACGGGAGAAAGCAGGGGAUCUUCGGACCUUGCGCUAAUAGAUGAGCCUAAGUCGGAUUAGCUAGUUGGUGGGGUAAAGGCCUACCAAGGCGACGAUCUGUAGCGGGUCUGAGAGGAUGAUCGGCCACACUGGGACUGAGACACGGCCCAGACUCAUACGGGAGGCAGCAGUGGGGAAUAUUGGACAAUGGGGGGAACCCUGAUCCAGCCAUGCCGCGUGUGUGAAGAAGGCCUUAUGGUUGUAAAGCACUUUAAGCGAGGAGGAGGCUACUGAGACUAAUACUCUUGGAUAGUGGACGUUACUCGCAGAAUAAGCACCGGCUAACUCUGUGCCAGCCGCCGCGGUAAUAC